CAGUCGCCGCGGUAAUACGUAGGGUGCAAGCGUUAAUCGGAAUUACUGGGCGUAAAGCGUGCGCAGGCGGUGUUGUAAGACUGAUGUGAAAUCCCCGGGCUCAACCUGGGAAACUGCAUUGGUGACUGCAACGCUGGAGUGCGGCAGAGGGGGAUGGAAUUCCGCGUGUAGCAGUGAAAUGCGUAGAUAUGCGGAGGAACACCGAUGGCGAAGGCAAUCCCCUGGGCCUGCACUGACGCUCAUGCACGAAAGCGUGGGGAGCAAACAGGAUUAGAUACCCCAGUAGUCCCUGUCUCUUAUA
rnacentral:rRNA from 1 species